AAAGCAGAGAAAAGUUACUGCAAUUACUGCUAGACUCUAUUUUGCUCAGAAAGGUUAAAACCCUGUGUAGUGUUUCUAAAUGGGAAAGUAAUUGAGAGUACAGUAAUUUUAGAAUACACAGUGCACUUAGGUGUUCUGGAAACAUAAAAAAUAAAUGUUGUUUUUCCACAACAUGCCUUGUAAACCAUUCUGAACCACUUCCUAGCCAAAAGCCAUUUCUAGUGCAAGCCAAGAACCUGCCAUCUACCUAUCAGCCUCUGUCAAUCAGAAGAACCAUACUGACUAGGACUAGGUGUCACAUCUGCUCCCGCAAGGCCCUCUACAGCUCAUCCUGUGUCUCCUGGACCUUCCGCCACUCCCCCAGUACUCUCUCCCUCUCUCUCUCUCUCUCUCUCUCUGUGUGUGUGUGACUGUGUGGGUGGAGACAGGUGUGCUGGAGUCAGAGCAGAUCCCUACCAGCUGCAACCUAUUCCAUAAUCAAGACCCCGACAAAUACUCAUCCCUGCCACUUCCAAGCUGCCAGAUCGUAAACUCUGCUCAUUUGCCCGCUCUGACUCUGGUCCCUGUCUCCAGUUCCACGUCUCGUCAUCCUGCUACUCUGUCCUGGAUUCCCCACUCUCCUACUCCCUUGGAUUCCCCUCCGGACCUGCUUACCCUGUCCCAACCCCUCUCGCUUCAGCCUCAGCCUCCGUACCUGGUUUUCUGCAACCCACCCGAGCUUCCCCUGGCCUGCAAUCCAACUUCCCCCUGUGUUUCAAUAAAUACCUUGGUUACUUCAUCCCAGUCUCCUCAUCUGAGUCUGCUCUAGGGAUCCCCUGUUCCACUCCGUGUAACACUAGACUACUAACAACAGCAGUUUCAUACAGCCUAUGCGUCCUGUCCAUCUGGCCAGGGUAAAUAAAGUGGUAAUGUUAAGUAUAUAUAAUCCAUUUAUUUGUGUUAGGAGAAAAUGUGUAUGUGAUCAACUUGGUUUAUAUUAAAACUUGGGCUGCCUAUUCCUUUUCUAUCCAAAAUGUUUAACUGGAAUUAAUGAAUCAACAAACAAAAGUGACGACAUUCUGUAGACUAUCAGUAAUUAUUUUUAUUAGACAUACAGUUAUUGUUUAAAUUUAAACAUUAUUUAACUAGGCAAGUCAGUUAAGAACAAAUUCUUAUUUACAAUGACGGCCUACCCCGGCCAAAACUGGACGAAGAUGGGCCAAUUGUGCGCCGCCCUAUGGGACUCCCAAUCACGGCCUGAUGUUAUACAACCUGGAAUCAAAACAGGAACUCUAGUGACGCCUCUUGCACUAAGAUGCAGUGCCUUAGACCGCUGCGCCACUCAGGAGCCCUGCGUAGUUGCAUAGGCCUACACGAUGCAAACAUGCAUAACGCAUGUUCUAUUGUCCAAUCACAGUUGUCUCCGUGUUUGUAGAAGAAACCCUGUUAGUCUAGUUUUAAAAUAUAAUUCAUAUGAACAAGUACAAGGUUGCUGAAGUUUGACAAGAUUUUAAUCCUCCCAGCACCAGUUUUUCCAGGAUUCUUUUUUAAAACCAUGUGACCUGAUAUGUUUUUUUUGUCCCAUUAUACACCAUUGUCACAACUGAUUUAAUCACUGUCAUAUGCUAUAGAGUCUGAAAAAAAUGGCCCACCACUGUCACGUUCUGACCUUAGUUACUUUUUUUUAUGUCUCUAUUUUUGGUUUGGUCAGGGCGUGAGUUAGGGUGGGCAAUCUAUGUUUUUGUUCUAUGUUUUGUAUUUCUGUGUUUGGCCUGGUAUGGUUCCCAAUCAGAGGCAGCUGCCUAUAGUUGCCUUUGAUUGAGAACCAUACUUAGGUAGCCUGUUCCCACCGGUGUAUGUGGGUAGUUGUUUCCUGUUUUGUGUUUUGUCACCUGAUAGGUCUGUUGAGUUUUUUCGUUGU